GACGAACGCUGGCGGCGUGCUUAACACAUGCAAGUCGAACGGAAGGGCCCUGCUUUUGUGGGGUGCUCGAGUGGCGAACGGGUGAGUAACACGUGAGUAACCUGCCCUUGACUUUGGGAUAACUUCAGGAAACUGGGGCUAAUACCGGAUAGGAGCCCCUGCUGCAUGGUGGGGGUUGGAAAGUUUCGGCGGUUGGGGAUGGACUCGCGGCUUAUCAGCUUGUUGGUGGGGUAGUGGCUUACCAAGGCUUUGACGGGUAGCCGGCCUGAGAGGGUGACCGGCCACAUUGGGACUGAGAUACGGCCCAGACUCCUACGGGAGGCAGCAGUGGGGAAUAUUGCACAAUGGGCGGAAGCCUGAUGCAGCAACGCCGCGUGCGGGAUGACGGCCUUCGGGUUGUAAACCGCUUUCGCCUGUGACGAAGCGUGAGUGACGGUAAUGGGUAAAGAAGCACCGGCUAACUACGUG
rnacentral:rRNA from 1 species